ACGGGAUUCCCUCAGUAACGGCGAGUGAAAUGGGAUGAGCCCAGCACCGAAUCCGGCUGCCGAAAGGCGGUCGUGAAAUGUGGUGUUCGGGAGGGCUCUGUCCGUGUCCGGUGUCGGUCCAAGUCUUCUGGAAAGGAGUUCCACGGAGGGUGACAGGCCCGUGCGACCGAUUGCCGCGCUCGCGGACGAGUCCUCCUUCGAGUCGGGUUGUUCGCUAAUGCAGCCCCAAGCAGGUGGUAAGCUCCAUCUAAGGCUAAAUAUAACCACGAGCCCGAUAGUCCACAAGUACAGUGAUGGAAAGUUGAAAAGUACUCUGAAGAGAGAGUCAAAUAGCCCGUGAAGCUGCCAGUAUGGGAUUAAGCGCACGUAUGACGCGUGUCGUCGGCCAAAUAGGCGACUGUUGGGUGUGCACACUGUGC
rnacentral:rRNA from 1 species